CUCUCUGUAGCUCAGUUGAUUAGAGUGCUGCAGCGGAGUCGCAUGUUCGAUUCCUGCCAGGGGUC